UAAUACGUAGGUGGCAAGCGUUGUCCGGAUUUAUUGGGUUUAAAGGGUGCGUAGGCGGUCUUAUAAGUCAGUUGUGAAAUACGGCAGCUUAACUGUCGAGGUGCAAUUGAUACUGUAAGACUUGAGUACUGUUGAGGUAGGCGGAAUGGACGGUGUAGCGGUGAAAUGCUUAGAGAUCGUCCAGAACACCGAUAGCGAAGGCAGCUUACUAAAGAGUAACUGACGCUGAGGCACGAAAGUGUGGGGAUCAAACAGGAUUAGAUACCCUGGUAGUCCACACUGUAAACGAUGAUUACUCGAUGUGUGCGAUACACAGCACGCGUCUUAGCAAAAGCGAUAAGUAAUCCACCUGGGGAGUACGCCGGCAACGGUG
rnacentral:rRNA from 1 species